rnacentral:rRNA from 1 species
GAUGAACGCUCGCUACAGGCUUAACACAUGCAAGUCGAGGGGAAACGGCAUCGAAAGCUUGCUUUUGAUGGGCGUCGACCGGCGCACGGGUGAGUAACGCGUAUCCAACCUGCCCAUCACUUGGGAAUAACCUUGCGAAAGUAAGACUAAUGCCCAAUGACAUCCCACGAAGGCAUCCGAAUGGGAUUAAAGAUUUAUCGGUGAUGGAUGGGGAUGCGUCUGAUUAGCUUGUUGGCGGGGUGACGGCCCACCAAGGCAACGAUCAGUAGGGGUUCUGAGAGGAAGGUCCCCCACAUUGGAACUGAGACACGGUCCAAACUCCUACGGGAGGCAGCAGUGAGGAAUAUUGGUCAAUGGGCGAGAGCCUGAACCAGCCAAGUAGCGUGCAGGAGGACGGCCCUAUGGGUUGUAAACUGCUUUUAUAAGGGAAUAAAGUGGGUCACGUGUGACUUUUUGCAUGUACCUUAUGAAUAAGGACCGGCUAAUUCCGUG